rnacentral:rRNA from 1 species
AGAGCGAACGCUGGCGGCAGGCUUAACACAUGCAAGUCGAGCGGGCGUAGCAAUACGUCAGCGGCAGACGGGUGAGUAACGCGUGGGAACGUACCUUUGGUUCGGAACAACACAGGGAAACUUGUGCUAAUACCGGAUAAGCCCUUACGGGGAAAGAUUUAUCGCCAAAAGAUCGGCCCGCGUCUGAUUAGCUAGUUGGUGAGGUAACGGCUCACCAAGGCGACGAUCAGUAGCUGGUCUGAGAGGAUGAUCAGCCACAUUGGGACUGAGACACGGCCCAAAACUCCUACGGGAGGCAGCAGUGGGGAAUAUUGGACAAUGGGCGCAAGCCUGAUCCAGCCAUGCCGCGUGAGUGAUGAAGGCCCUAGGGUUGUAAAGCUCUUUUGUGCGGGAAGAGUAAUGACGGUACCGCAAGAAUAAGCCCGGCUAACUUCGCGCCAGCAGCCGC